rnacentral:rRNA from 1 species
CACUCCUGCGGGAGGCAGCAGUGGGGAAUAUUGGACAAUGGGCGCAAGCCUGAUCCAGCCAUGCCGCGUGAGUGAUGAAGGCCCUAGGGUUGUAAAGCUCUUUCACCGGUGAAGAUAAUGACGGUAACCGGAGAAGAAGCCCCGGCUAACUUCGUGCCAGCAGCCGCGGUAAUACGAAGGGGGCUAGCGUUGUUCGGAUUUACUGGGCGUAAAGCGCACGUAGGCGGACUAUUAAGUCAGGGGUGAAAUCCCGGGGCUCAACCCCGGAACUGCCUUUGAUACUGGUAGUCUUGAGUUCGAGAGAGGUGAGUGGAAUUCCGAGUGUAGAGGUGAAAUUCGUAGAUAUUCGGAGGAACACCAGUGGCGAAGGCGGCUCACUGGCUCGAUACUGACGCUGAGGUGCGAAAGCGUGGGGAGCAAACAGGAUUAGAAACCCCGGUAGUCCCAUGA